rnacentral:rRNA from 1 species
GAUGAACGCUGGCGGCGUGCCCAAUACAUGCAAGUCGAGCGAACGGACGAGAAGCUUGCUUCUCUGAUGUUAGCGGCGGACGGGUGAGUAACACGUGGAUAACCUACCUAUAAGACUGGGAUAACUUCGGGAAACCGGGGCUAAUACCGGAUGAUAUUUUGAACCGCAUGGUUCAAAAGUGAAAGACGGUCUUGCUGUCACUUAUAGAUGGAUCCGCGCUGCAUUAGCUAGUUGGUAAGGUAACGGCUUACCAAGGCAACGAUGCAUAGCCGACCUGAGAGGGUGAUCGGCCACACUGGAACUGAGACACGGUCCAGACUCCUACGGGAGGCAGCAGUAGGGAAUCUUCCGCAAUGGGCGAAAGCCUGACGGAGCAACGCCGCGUGAGUGAUGAAGGUCUUCGGAUCGUAAAACUCUGUUAUUAGGGAAGAACAUAUGUGUAAGUAACUGUGCACAUCUUGACGGUACCUAAUCAGAAAGCCACGGCUAACUACGUG